rnacentral:rRNA from 1 species
CGCCUUGCCAGCCCGCUCAGAAACUCGAAAGGAAGUUGACGGGGGCCCGCACAAGCGGAGGAGCAUGUGGUUUAAUUCGAUGAUACGCGAGGAACCUUACCUGGGCUCGAACGUAAGAUGACUGUAGGUGAAAGCUUACAUCUCUUCGGAGCAUUUUACGAGGUGCUGCAUGGUUGUCGUCAGCUCGUGCCGUGAGGUGUCGGGUUAAGUCCCAUAACGAGCGCAACCCCUACCUUUAGUUGCCAUCAGGUUAAGCUGGGGACUCUAAAGGAACUGCCUACGCAAGUAGUGAGGAAGGCGGGGAUGACGUCAAAUCAGCACGGCCCUUACGUCCAGGGCUACACACGUGCUACAAUGGCCGAUACAGAGGGCAGCUACCUGGUGACAGGAUGCAAAUCUCCAAAGUCGGUCUCAGUUCGGAUCGGAGUCUGCAACCCGACUCCGUGAAGUUGGAUUCGCUAGUAAUCGCGCAUCAGCCAUGGCGCGGUGAAUACGUUCCCGGGCCUU